rnacentral:rRNA from 1 species
GAUGAACGCUGGCGGCGUGCCUAAUACAUGCAAGUCGAACGGAAAGACGAGGCUCUUGCGGCGCUCUCGUUUGGCGAAGGGGUGAGUAACACGCGAGUAACCUGUCCCUGUCUGUCGGAGAACUCCUGGGAACUGCGGCGAAUAUCCGGUAUAAUCUACUGCACCGUGGUGUUCGUUGGUAAGAGUCGGCGGUUUGGGAUGGACUAGCUGCUUAUGAGCUUGUUUGGCUGGUAGUGGCGUACCAAGGCUUUGACGGAUAGCCGGCGUGAGAGGCUUACCGGCCACAUUGGGACUGAGAUACGGACCAGACUCCUACGGGAGGCAGCAGUGGGGAAUAUUGCACAAUGGGCGGAAGCCUGAUGCAGCAACGCCGCGUGCGGGAUGACGGCCUUCGGGUUGUAAACCGCUUUCGCCUGUGACGAAGCGUGAGUGACGGUAAUGGGUAAAGAAGCACCGGCUAACUACGUG